CUUACCUAUCCCUAGCAUAGCAAACAUAAACAAACAAUCACAGCACAGCAAGCAGUUUAAAAACAAAUUGUACAAUUGUACAACAAUCAUAGCACAGCAAGCAGUUUAAAAACAAAUUUGUUACAAAUUCAUUUUGAUGCUAUAGCUGGCAUUUGGUUAUGGAAAACAAUUUUAUUGAUGAUUACGAACAUAUCAAUUCCGAAGUGGAGUACAUAUUGGAAAAUGUGUUGAGCGAGGAUACGUUACAAAGCUCAAGUCCAGAAUCGAAGCAAUUAGUGGAUUUGUUUAAUACACUUUUAUUAAACAAAUGCUCAUGCAAAGAAUGUAAUAAUUAUUUGUGCACUCAUGGAUGUUCCUAUGAGCCCGAUUUGGAAUCUAAGGAGCUCGUGAUUUCAAGGGAUAAUUUUAGUGAUUUAUUGUACGAGUGCACGUCCCUUUGUUCCUGCAAAACAAAAACCUGUUGCAAUAGAUUGGUGCAAUAUGGGCCCAGAAAAGAUUUAAAAAUAAUAUUUUCUAAGAAAUAUCAAUCUUAUGGAAUCAUUACUACCAGAGAUAUCCCAAGGGGGGCCUUCAUUUGUGAAUACGCCGGUGAGCUUCUUACAAGGGAAGAGGCAAUGAAACGUAUAUAUGAAAACAAAAAACAAGGUCGAAUGAAUUAUGUGCUCUGCUUAAAGGAGAGUCUUAAUGGUCCCCAUCUUGAUGUAACAAACAACGGGGGAUUUACAAUAAUUGUGGACCCGGCCAAAAGAGGAAAUAUUGGGCGAUAUUUAAAUCAUAGCUGCAAUCCGAAUUGUCAGAUAUUUAGUGUACGAGUAGAUUCGCCAAUACCAAAAAUAGGAAUUUUUGCCAAACGUUUCAUUAAAUCAGGGGAAGAGCUGUGUUUUCACUAUAAUGAAGGGAGGAAGUGCUCACCACAAUCAAGUUUUGAAGAUCGUAUACUAUGUCUAUGUAAAUCUGAAGUAUGCGAAAACUUUUUACCCAACGCGGACAUAUAAACACAGAUCUGAGACAUGAACGGUUUAGUAUGUUAGCAACAACGUUUAUACCCUAGCUGUUAUGCCUUUUAGUUUGAGUAUUUAACAUUUUAACGAAAAUAAUAAAAUACGGAUUUUCAACGGAUACUCUGGCACUUCUGGGCUAAGAAAAUCAUGUAAGGUACUAAUAUGUACUACUAGCAGCAACCAGCGUUGUAUGAAAUGGAAUUUUAUAGCAUUUUUUUACAUGACUUAUAGCCUGUUCAGCAAACUUAUUUUUUUUCCAAUUGCAAGACAAAUGGCAGACAAAUGGGAUUUUCGGUUUUCGUACCAUUUAAAUGUGAAUAAAUCUUUUGUGACUCGUACCAUCGCUCAUUACCGUGAUAUUGGUAGCGUAGCCCGACGUCAAGGAAGCGGACGGAAGAAAACAGCAACAUCAACAGAAAUGGUUCGGAAAGUAAGACGCGACUUGAUCGAAACCCGCGUCGCAGUGGCCGAAAAAUGACUCGUGAGCUGAACAUAUCGCAAUAUUCCGUUCGGCAAAUAUUGAAAAAUGAGCUUGGGGUAAAGCCAUUGAAAUUCCAAAAAGUGCAAGAACUUACACCGCAACAGAAUUCUUUCUGUUCUUUCUCAAAAGAGCUAAAGAGUUUGCUUCGCUUGGCCGAAAGUGGUAAACUGCCGAAUUUGGGUUUCUCCGAUGAGAAAACAUUCGUUGUCCAGCAUUUUGUAAACAAACAAAAUGAUCGUGUUUACUUGCCAAAACUGAAAAUGUGCACCUUCGGUUGGUCACCAGAACUCAAGCGCAGGCCAUGGUGAUGGUGAGGGCCGCCAUAAGAGUCGAUGGUCGCUCUCCGCUCGUAUUAAUCGACCGUGGCAUCAGAAUAUAUGCCGAAAAGUAUGGCGAAAAUAUUCUGGAGGGUGUAUUAAAUUCUUGGGCACGCAAACAUUUUGGCCGCAGACCUUGGACAUUCCAACAGGACUCAGCGUCAUCGCACUCAGCACGCGCCACCCAAGUUUGGUUACAAAAUGAGGUUCCUCGCUUCAAUUCCAGCGCACAUGGACACCAAAAUCUGCGGAUACCAAUCCGUUGGACUAUCGUGUCUGGAGUAUUUUGGAAAGGUUGGCACUAAAAAUAUCAAACCUCAAGCAAGCGCUUCGCAGGGAAUGGGCCAAAAUACCGCAGAGCAACAUUCUCGCAGCGUG